rnacentral:rRNA from 1 species
AGACCGAUAGCGAACAAGUACCGUGAGGGAAAGAUGAAAAGAACUUUGAAAAGAGAGUUAAAGAGUACCUGAAACUGCUGAAAGGGAACCGAAUCGUUUCCAGUGUCUAUAAUCCGUGGUAUAUUUCAUUGGCGAGUGUGUGCGUGCGUGUGCUGUGGCAGCGGCUUUUUAGGCUGCGCUCGGCGUGUGUGCUGUGUGUGCUUGCUGGUGCCCUGUACUGCGGUGGGACGUCAAGGUCAGUUCGUAUGCUGCGGGAAAUGGCUGCCGAGGAGGUAGGGCUUACGCUUGCGUUUGUCUGUUAUAUCUUGGUGGACGAGUAGUCGCGGUUGGGACUGAGGUGCCUACAACGUGCUUUUGAGUGGGUUUGUGUCUCCGUGUGCGCCGUGUGCGGAUAGCUUUGCUAUGCGUGUGUGGUUGUGUGUGGAUUGAUGCGGGCUUUAACUUGUUUGCCGUUCGGGACGUUUGACAAAAUGGAACCGAUUCGACCCCGUUCUUGAAACACGGACCAAGG